rnacentral:pre_miRNA from 1 species
UGUAUAGUACUCGGCAUAAAAAAAAUGACAGUUCGCUUUUAUGCCGAGCACUAUACAGU